UACGUAGGGGGCAAGCGUUGUCCGGAUUUAUUGGGCGUAAAGAGCGUGUAGGCGGCCUGGUAGGUCAGCUGUGAAAACCCGAGGCUCAACCUCGGGACGUCGGCGGAAACCAUCUGGCUAGAGUCCGGAAGAGGAGAGUGGAAUUCCCGGUGUAGCGGUGAAAUGCGCAGAUAUCGGGAAGAACACCCGUGGCGAAGCGGCUCUCUGGGACGGUACUGACGCUGAGACGGCGAAAAGCGU
rnacentral:rRNA from 1 species